GUUGUACCGUUUAGAAAACUAAUUUUGAUGAUGGAUCUCUUGUCAGCAACAAGAGUGACACAAGUGCAAGUGUCACACCAGAAAACGUGGCUCCAAGGAAACAUUAUAGGUCUACAAAGGAGAUGUGGACGGGGAACUGGAAGUCUUCCAUCGACGACCUGAUUUUAGCAAAGGACCCAAAACAAGUGCUUGGCUUGAAAUCACAAACAUCAGAAGUAACUUCUUCAUUGAGCCUAUGAUGCGGUCAUGACAUUUGUGUAUAGUUUUUUUUAAAUCCCUUCUAACAAGGUGUAACUCGUGAAGAGACGACUGAUUCAAGGAUAACGAAAUGCUCUCCUCCACGUCAUAUGAAAGACCCUCUAGUAGCAACUAUCCAGAUAACUACGACUUUGGCAGAUGCUCCGUUUCUGCAGCUAAACACAUAUCUCUUCAAGCAAUCUAGGCUGACACCUGGACAGAAGCACUAUUUGCGCACCAUUGCAGGAGUCCACAGUAAAGAACAUGUGUGGAAGCUUCUCCAGCAACAUUACAUGAAUGUUGCACACAGGUGCAUCAGGACAGGGUUGGAUUCUAUGACAAACCUGAGUGUCAAAGCCAGUGAAUCACUUGAGCCGAAUAGGAGUGUUGCUCAAGUGAGUGUGACUGAGAGAGAAACACUUCCUAAAAUACUCAACAAGUCUGGCCAGAAACAUUUGAACAAAGGGAAAAAUACUCUUCCCAACAUCUACAACCGGCAUAAAUGGGCGGCGGCUAACAAUUUUGAAUCAAAGAAAGGACCCACUAGGAAAUCAAGGAUAUCCAGUGAUCGAACACACUUCUCAACUAAAGGAGCAGGUCUUAGCAAGCCUGAUGUACGGAAGGACAAUGAUGAUGAAGACUCACUGGAUGAACUAAUCAGAGCUCUUUCGAUGGAAGACGAUGAGGACUUUUUUCUUUGA
rnacentral:lncRNA from 1 species